rnacentral:rRNA from 1 species
GACGAACGCUGGCGGCGCGCCUAACACAUGCAAGUCGAACGAGAGAUGAGGAGCUUGCUCUUCAGAUCGAGUGGCGAACGGGUGAGUAACGCGUGAGGAACCUGCCUCAAAGAGGGGGACAACAGUUGGAAACGACUGCUAAUACCGCAUAAGCCCACGGCUCGGCAUCGAGCAGGGGGAAAAGAGCAAUCCGCUUUGAGAUGGCCUCGCGUCCGAUUAGCUAGUUGGUGAGGUAACAGCCCACCAAGGCGACGAUCGGUAGCCGGACUGAGAGGUUGAACGGCCACAUUGGGACUGAGACACGGCCCAGACUCCUACGGGAGGCAGCAGUGGGGAAUAUUGCACAAUGGGGGAAACCCUGAUGCAGCGACGCCGCGUGGAGGAAGAAGGUCUUCGGAUUGUAAACUCCUGUUGUUGAGGAAGAUAAUGACGGUACUCAACAAGGAAGUGACGGCUAACUACGUG